rnacentral:rRNA from 1 species
AGUACGAGAGGACCGGAGUGGACAGACCUCUAGUGUUCUGGUUGUGUCGCCAGAUGCAUUGCCAGGUAGCUACGUCUGGAAAGGAUAACCGCUGAAAGCAUCUAAGCGGGAAGCCAACCCCAAAACAAGAUCUCUCUUUUCCCUUCGGGGAAAUAGUAGAGUCCUUGUAGACUACGAGGUCGAUAGGCCGGGUGUGUAAGCACAGUAAUGUGUUCAGCUAACCGGUACUAAUCAGUCGCGAGGCUUGACCUU